rnacentral:rRNA from 1 species
AUGUAUUCAGUCCAAGCACAUUUGUGGGUGGAUUUUGCUACGAUGCACUUCAUUGGAAAUGCAGCACUGUGGCUUCAGACAUAUGAAGCGAUGCAUAAUGUUGAUUCUUGGGCAGAACUGUGUGUAGCUGUUUUCGCCAAGUUAAACAAGCACAAGUACUCCAGACUCAUUGAUGUUUUCUUUGCCUUGCGUCAAGAUGGCUCAGUGGAUGACUAUGCCCAUGUGUUUGAGGAGCAUAUGCACAAGAUCUUAGUCUACAAUCAGUCCUAUGAUGAGAUAUUCUUUGUCAACCGGUUCAUCGAUGGGUUGAAACCUGAGAUUCGAGCACCAGUGAAGCUGCAACAUCUCGGUACUGUUGAUUUGGCUUAUACUUUUGCCCAAACACAAGAAGCUUUACCGGCGGAAGAUAUUUCUCGGAUGACUAAGAAGUUUGAGCAUCGAAACAAGAACAAAUCGUAUAUUCAUCAGGGGUUGUUGGGGUCUAGUCCUACUGAUCAGAAAGUGGAGGACAAAGCCAAAUGGUCUGAUAAAAUGGAUAAUCUGAGAGCGCAACGGCGUGCUCGUGGUGAGUGCUUUAAGUGUGGGGAGAAGUAUGGACCAGGCCACAAGUGUCCCAAAACAGUGCAGCUCCACGUCAUGGAAGAAUUUAUCUCUGCUCUCCAGUUGUCUGACAGUUCCGAUUCAGAAACUGAGACUGAAGAAGCAAAUGCUACGGCGGGACAGAGUGAGUCAGUCAUGCAGAUAUCAGUUCAAGCAGUGAAUGGUACGUCAUGUAAGGAAAGCAUUAAACUGCAAGGUAUGGUUGGCAAGCUCCAUUUACUGAUUCUGGUGGAUUCUGGCAGUUCCAACACGUUUAUUAGUCAAAAACUGGUUCAGCAAUUACAGUGUCCUCUUGAAGCUAUACCUACUGCUAAGGUAGCUAUUGCAGGAGGGGGAACAUUACAGUGCACACAUCAAGUGUUGAAUUUACAGUGGUGUUGUCAAGGGUACACUUUCACUAGUUCAUUAAAGGUUCUGCCACUGGAAAAUUAUGAUAUCAUAUUGGGUAUGAACUGGUUGGAAGUAAUGAGCCCAAUGUGGGUCGAUUGGAAGUUGAAAGUCAUGGAAUUCCAACAUGAAAAUACAAAAGUUACUCUCAGGGGUUUAAGAGAUAACACUGCUUCUUGUCAGCCUGUCUCUGGAAAGAAAUUAAGAGGGUUGUUAAAUACUUCAGCAGUGGAUCAUGUCAUUCAGCUUUAUCACAUUUCUCCUAGCAGAGAUACUAUUGCCCCAAUACCUGAAGCAGUGCAGCACAUCUUGGAUAAACAUAAGGCUGUCUUUAGUGCACCCACUGAACUUCCUCCUCACAGGUCCUUCGAUCAUCAGAUUCCAUUGCUUCCGGGGGCUACUUCAGUGAAUGUUAAACCCUAUCGUUAUAGCCCAAUGCAGAAAACUGAAAUUGAAAACCAGAUUGUGGCUAUGUUACAGCAGGGGAUUAUGCAGUGCAACUCUAGUUUGUUUGCAUCUCCUGUCUUACUAGUAAAGAAAAAGGAUGGAACUUGGCGGUUUUGUGUGGAUUAUAGGCAUCUAAAUGCUAUUACCCUCAAGCAUAAAUAUCCUAUGCCCAUCGUGGAGGAACUUCUGGAUGAACUGGUAGGAGCAAAAUGGUUUACCAAGCUCGACUUACGGUCUGGAUACCAUCAAAUUAGAAUUGUUCCUGGUGAAGAACAUAAAACAGCAUUUAAAGUACACCAUGGCUUGUAUGAGUUCAGAGUCAUUCCUUUCGGGUUGACCAAUGCACCUGCUUCCUUCCAAGCUGCUAUGAACAAAUUGUUUGCUCAUCUACUCAGGAAGUAUGUGCUUGUCUUUAUGGAUGACAUUCUGAUCUUUAGUGCCACUUUAGAAGAGCACCUCCAACACUUGCAGGAAGUGUUUCGAAUCCUGCAUGAAAAUCAGUUUUAUGUCAAGAUGAGCAAGUGCUCUUUUGCUCAACAGGAAUUGGAGUAUUUGGGCCACAUUAUCAGUGCUGAGGGAGUGAAGACCGAUCCUGCCAAGAUUCAAAGUGUGCAGAAGUGGCCUACUCUUACAAACAUUAAGCAAGUCAGAGGGUUUCUGGGCCUGACUGGAUACCAUAGGAAGUUCAUCAAAGAUUAUGGGGUCAUCAGCAGGAGUUUAACCGAACUGUUAAAAAAGGACAGCAUCUUUUUGUGGACCCCUACAGUGGAGGCUGCAUUCCAGCAAUUAAAAUUAGCUCUGUCUCAAUCUCCUGUCUUGGCGUUGUCGAACUUCAGCAAACCUUCACAAUUGAAACAGAUGCUAGCAACUGUGGAGUGGGAGCAGUUCUAA